rnacentral:rRNA from 1 species
CCUACGGGGAGCUGCAGUGGGGAAUAUUGGACAAUGGACGAAAGCCUGAUCCAGCCAUGCCGCGUGUGUGAAGAAGGCCUUCGGGUUGUAAAGCACUUUCAGUGGGGAAGAAAGCCUUGGGGCUAAUACCCUCGAGGAAGGACAUCACCCACAGAAGAAGCACCGGCUAACUCCGUGCCAGCAGCCGCGGUAAUACGGAGGGUGCGAGCGUUAAUCGGAAUUACUGGGCGUAAAGCGCGCGUAGGCGGUCUGAUAAGCCGGUUGUGAAAGCCCCGGGCUCAACCUGGGAACGGCAUCCGGAACUGUCAGGCUAGAGUGCAGGAGAGGAAGGUAGAAUUCCCGGUGUAGCGGUGAAAUGCGUAGAGAUCGGGAGGAAUACCAGUGGCGAAGGCGGCCUUCUGGACUGACACUGACGCUGAGGUGCGAAAGCGUGGGUAGCAAACAGGAUUAGAUACCCGAGUAGUC